GCAGAUUGGAUAUUAAGUAUAAAUCAGCUCUCUGUGUAUGUCCCUGUUUGGUGGUAUAACUGACAACAGAUAGGGUUCCUGAUGGGAUUGGGUUCCACCAAUCAGAGCCACUUGCAUGAGACCUCAACUGAGAGCCAGGUGUUUGAAGAGGAGGGGCUCACUCUAAAUCUUGAAGAUGUUCAGCCUCGAAAAAGUAGAAGUCAUUGUGACCAAAGAUGAUGCCACCACACCUUUGAAAAAGAAAGGUGAUGAGCCUCAAAAGGAAAAACACAUUCAAGAAAGGUCAAUGCUAAUGAGUAUGAAUGAACACAUAGCAAAAACUUCAGAUACAACAGCCAUGCCAAGGGCUGGUGGGACAGGUGAGGCUGAGUGAAUAAAAAGAAGUAGCCCCAGAGACACUCAAGGUGGUUCCAGCUGCUUUGAAGGAGGUUUCUUUCUAAGAGGUGGCUGGGCUUGGUUUCAGUGUAUUCCAAUUUGGGACUCAUGAAUUGCAACUGAUAAAGAUCAAAAAACUGAUACAGAAAUUGUUUUAUAAAACAUUCAAAAUGCCUGCAGCGACCUUGACAAGAGCAGACAUUAGGAGGCUCCCUGACAGCUGAGAACACUGUGUGAUGCCC
rnacentral:antisense_RNA from 1 species